rnacentral:tRNA from 1 species
ACCUGGUUGGCUCAGUCGGUAGAGCAUGCAACUCUUGAUCUCGGGGUUGUGGGUUCGAGUCCCACAUUGGGUG